GAAGUGAUGCAAACCAGACCAUGCGGCCAACUCCUGCGUCAGGUUCCAUAGGAAUCCUUUCCCCGCCAGCGGAGGAGGCUCUCCCGUCUUUUGGAAAUGAUAUGCAGGAGACAGAGCUGAUUCUCAUUUCUUCCAUGGACACGGCUAAGCACGGGCUGUGAAUUUUGAAGAUUGCACGGGUCGACAAAGGACAGCCUAUUUUUCCCUCGACACCCGAUUCAAAGUGGGCACAGAUGGUGUGAUUACAGUCAAAAGGCCUCUACGGUUUCAUAACCCACAGAUCCAUUUCUUGGUCUACGCCUGGGACUCCACCUACAGAAAGUUUUCCACCAAAGUCACGCUGAAUACAGUGGGGCACCACCACCGCCCCCUGCCGCAUCAGGCCUCUGUUUCUGGAAUCCAAGCAGAAUUGCUCACAUUUCCCAACUCCUCUCCUGGCCUCAGAAGACGGAAGAGAGACUGGGUUAUUCCUCCCAUAAGCUGCCCAGAAAAUGAAAAAGGCCCGUUUCCUAAAAACCUGGUUCAGAUCAAAUCCAACAAAGACAAAGAAGGCAAGGUUUUCUACAGCAUCACUGGCCAAG
rnacentral:sRNA from 1 species